ACGGGAGGCAGCAGUGGGGAAUAUUGCACAAUGGGCGAAAGCCUGAUGCAGCGACGCCGCGUGAACGAUGAAGUAUUUCGGUACGUAAAGUUCUAUCAGCAGGGAAGAUAAUGACGGUACCUGACUAAGAAGCACCGGCUAAAUACGUGCCAGCAGCCGCGGUAAUACGUAUGGUGCAAGCGUUAUCCGGAUUUACUGGGUGUAAAGGGAGCGCAGGCGGUCCAGCAAGUCUGAAGUGAAAUCCCGGGGCUCAACCCCGGAACUGCUUUGGAAACUGUUGGACUAGAGUGUCGGAGGGGUAAGCGGAAUUCCUAGUGUAGCGGUGAAAUGCGUAGAUAUUAGGAGGAACACCAGUGGCGAAGGCGGCUUACUGGACGAUAACUGACGCUGAGGCUCGAAAGCGUGGGGAGCAAACAGGAUUAGAUACCCUGGUA
rnacentral:rRNA from 1 species